rnacentral:misc_RNA from 1 species
UACGGAGGGUGCAAGCGUUGUUCGGAAUUACUGGGCGUAAAGCGCACGUAGGCGGACUUGUGUGUCGAUUGUGAAAGCCCUGGGCUUAACCUGGGAAUUGCAGUCGAAACUGCAGGUCUUGAAUACUUGAGAGGGUGGGAGAAUUCCUGGUGGAGAAGUGAAAUUCGUAGAUAUUAGGAGGAAUACCGGAGGCGAAGGCGCCUACCUGGCAAGCUAUUGACGCUGAGGUGCGAAAGCGUGGGGAGCAAACGGG